rnacentral:rRNA from 1 species
CAGCAGCCGCGGUAAUACGGAGGGCGCGAGCGUUACCCGGAUUUACUGGGCGUAAAGGGCGUGUAGGCGGCCUGGGGCGUCCCAUGUGAAAGGCCACGGCUCAACCGUGGAGGAGCGUGGGAUACGCUCAGGCUAGAGGGUGGGAGAGGGUGGUGGAAUUCCCGGAGUAGCGGUGAAAUGCGCAGAUACCGGGAGGAACGCCGAUGGCGAAGGCAGCCACCUGGUCCACUUCUGACGCUGAGGCGCGAAAGCGUGGGGAGCAAACCGGAUUAGAGACCCCAGUAGUCCCUGUCUCUUAUAC